GCCUCUGUAGCUCAAGAGGCAAAGCACUGAUCUUGUAAACCAGGGGUCGUGAGUUCAAUCUUCACGGGAGGCA